AUUGAACGCUGGCGGCAUGCCUUACACAUGCAAGUCGAACGGUAACAGGUCUUCGGAUGCUGACGAGUGGCGAACGGGUGAGUAAUACAUCGGAACGUGCCUAGUAGUGGGGGAUACCUACUCGAAAGAGUGGCUAAUACCGCAUGAGAUCUACGGAUGAAAGCAGGGGAUCGCAAGACCUUGUGCUACUAGAGCGGCCGAUGGCAGAUUAGGUAGUUGGUGGGAUAAAAGCUUACCAAGCCGACGAUCUGUAGCUGGUCCGAGAGGACGAUCAGCCACACUGGGACUGAGACACGGCCCAGACUCCUACGGGAGGCAGCAGUGGGGAAUUUUGGACAAUGGGCGCAAGCCUGAUCCAGCAAUGCCGCGUGCAGGAUGAAGGCCUUCGGGUUGUAAACUGCUUUUGUACGGAACGAAAAGCCCCGGGUUAAUACCCUGGGGUCAUGACGGUACCGUAAGAAUAAGCACCGGCUAACUACGUGCCAGCCGCCGCCGUAA
rnacentral:rRNA from 1 species